rnacentral:lncRNA from 1 species
GACUCAUGAGUCGACCCCUGAAGCAUGAGUCGACUCAUGAGUCGACCCCUGCGACGGGAAUUAUCCGCAACGGCUAGUUUUUUGUCCGUUUUAGUUGCCUUUAAUGCUCACUUUAAAUGUUCUAACGGCUCUUUUUCUGCCUAAAAUGUUUUCCCUUGUUUCUUAAAGCUAUAAAAGGUUUCAAAAGGUGGAAAACAAAAGGGGAUCUACAAUAUACACGAGAGAUACAAGAGAUCUACAAUAUACACAAGAGACAUACG